rnacentral:rRNA from 1 species
AGAGUUUGAUUCUGGCUCAGGACGAACGCUGGCGGCGUGCUUAACACAUGCAAGUCGAACGGAGCACCCUUGAUUGAGGUUUCGGCCAAAUGAUAGGAAUGCUUAGUGGCGGACUGGUGAGUAACGCGUGAGGAACCUGCCUUCCAGAGGGGACAACAGUUGGAAACGACUGCUAAUACCGCAUGACGCAUGACCGGGGCAUCCCGGACAUGCCAAAGAUUUUAUCGCUGGAAGAUGGCCUCGCG